AAUGCUCCCUCCCGGGGGCAAGUUUCUUUCCGUGAGUGAUUCUGGGUGCUGCCUGACCGUGUGUCUGUCUCUCCUGUUUCCCGGGCCGAGGAGGCAGCACCCCCUUCCUCUCUCCUCACUGGGCCUUGCCGGGCCAGGAGACGCGGUGGCGCCGGCCUGCAAACGGAGUAGUUGGUCUCCCAGGGUAGGGCGUAGGAGAACCGCCCCCAGGCGAGGAAGUCCAACCGGUUGGGCGGGCUAAGCCUCGCCCUCCAGCGAAAUGGAAAAACCCUUGUGUGAAGAGUGCUGGGGACUGAUUUUUAUAAAGCCCUCUCCUGACCCGGACCAGUUCCAUUCCUCCUACUGGAGCUUCGCAGAGCCCUGAUGGGGUACAGUUCCUGGCGUUGUGCAGCGGCGAAACUGACUCUUAGAAAGGUUGAGGAACUUGCCCAGGGUCACACAGCUGGGGAGUGGUCGAGCUAGGAUUUUAACCCAAGUCGUCCGGCCUCCAAAAGCCAGAUUCUCUCCGACGUUAGCGCCGCGCCCCCAGGGCGGAGGAUUGCGUUCCCUAACACCGCAGACACAACUAAGGUGCCUUGGGUGUGACUGAAAGACGCGAACGCGGGCCACCCAUCUCUGGAUGAUGGGUGGCUGCGCCUGCAGCCCCCGCAGGGGCUGAGCGUCGGCGGGAGCCGCUCGGGCUGUUACCGUAAGUCUCAGAGGAGCGGGGCACAACGGGAAAGGUAACGAAGAGCAGGACGGGCCGGAGGGCGCCGCGACGUGGAGAGACUGCGUUCCCGGCUCAGAAGCCUGACCUUGAAGGAGUGAGGGUGCGCACGCGCCCGAGGCAAGUCAGCCUUACUGUUCUUGGAAAGAAUUAGAAGAGGAAAGAAAGGUCACUGCUUUAAAAAUAGGCAUGGAAAGAGCCAAAGGAACCCGGAUCCAGGAUGUAACUCUGCCCUGGUCUUCGGCCCUGAGGAAGGGGUCUGUACUUUCACAAGCGGCAACAGCCAGGCGAUGAUUUUCAUCUUAAAUACAGCCCAUCAGCAACUGAAGAACCACAUGACCUCCAAAAAUUGACCAGUCUUCUUUGGAUUCCUUCCUUCCAUCACAGCCCUCAUUUUUCCCCCCGCAUAGGCAGCGGAAAAAAGGAAAAGCUCAUGUGCUCAGGCUCUAAGGUAAGAGCGUGACAGGCACACGUUCAUUCAUGUCUCACAGCAAUCCCUGGAGGGGAGCAUGGGUCUCCCCACUUUAUGCAUGAGGAAACUGAGGCAGAGAGAGGUUAAGCAACUGGCCUGCAGUCCCACAGGCCUGAGGUAAACGAGAGCCAAAGGAAAACCCAGGCUUGUAAAUAUGCAGUUUAACUUCCAAUAGCUAUAAAUCUACUUUCCCUAGGGAUGUAAAUUCUGAGAUCUUAUGAUCCAGCAAGAAAGGAGCAGCAAGGAGCUGGUCUACAGUGCAGUGAGGCCUGGAUUUUGAGUCCAGGAGGGAGAGAGACAGACCCCAGGGACCUUUGGGAAGGUAGAGGAUAAUCUAUAGCUGCGAUGAGAACAGAAUCCAUGGUGGAGGACUGCUCUCAAAUUUUCCCAGCCAAGAUUUCUGAUACUUCAAAGACAGUUGGUGGCAAGUAGGAUGAUGUGCUUGGAAGCCAGACAGGCCUGAGCUUCAACCUCAACUCUGGCACUUACUGGCCGGUGACCUUGAGCGGACCAAAGCUGCAGGAUGUCAGAUCUAAGAAACAAGCCACCUGCCUCUCAGAGCAGAUUUAAGGAGAUACAAAAUGGAAGCGGUCCUAGCACAGUGCCUGGCCUCCAGGGGGUCCUCGAUGAGAGUAAAUUCCCUGUUGUCCCCCCCUUGGCAAUGCCCCUACUUCACCUCCUGUGUUUGUGAUUCUCCUUUCUCAAUAUUGUACCCUUGGUGAGUGAGAACCAGCGGAGAAUGUCAAGUGAAAGGGCAUGGCCCAGGGAACCAAUAAUAUGCUUGUGCCCCUCUCCCUGCAUGGUGACUGACAUUUCCCAGAAAUAAAUAACUGCAUAGCAUUCAGGCUUUCAUGCAUCUGUUGCAUGAAAUAUGGUGGUAACUCCAUUCACUGGGAUCUGGGAUAGUGAGAAGAAAAUCAAGACACGACUCAUGUGCUAAUGGAAUUGUCCCUUCAUGGUAGUUUAAAAGCAUAGGCAGGGGCGCCUGGGUGGCGCAGUCGGUUAAGCAUCCGACUUCAGCCAGGCCACGAUCUCGCGGUCCGGGAGUUCGAGCCCCACGUCAGGCUCUGGGCUGAUGGCUCGGAGCCUGGAGCCUGUUUCCGAUUCUGUGUCUCCCUCUCUGUCUGCCCCUCCCCCGUUCAUGCUCUGUCUCUCUCUGUCCCAAAAAUAAAUAAACGUUGAAAAUAAA